CAAAGAAUCGAAAAGAAAAAAAAAAGAUCGAGAGAAAACGGAAAAUAAAACUCAAAAUCUCCUUCAAAUUCGAUUUCUUUUUCUUCUUUUUUUGUAUACAAUCUCUAUGAAUGCGUGGGUGUAUUCUUGGCUUUUUUAUAGCCUGAUUUUUUACAGAGGAAAAAGAAAAUAAAAAUAAAAAUAAAUAAAAGGAAAAUUACCCCG
rnacentral:lncRNA from 1 species